rnacentral:tRNA from 1 species
GGGAAGCUGGCUCAAUGGUAGAGUGCUUGCCUUGCAUGCAUGAGGCCCUGAAUUCGGUUCCCCA